rnacentral:rRNA from 1 species
UUAAGCGACUAAGCGUACACGGUGGAUGCCCUGGCAGUCAGAGGCGAUGAAGGACGUGCUAAUCUGCGAUAAGCGUCGGUAAGGUGAUAUGAACCGUUAUAACCGGCGAUUUCCGAAUGGGGAAACCCAGUGUGAUUCGUCACACUAUCAUUAACUGAAUCCAUAGGUUAAUGAGGCGAACCGGGGGAACUGAAACAUCUAAGUACCCCGAGGAAAAGAAAUCAACCGAGAUUCCCCCAGUAGCGGCGAGCGAACGGGGAGCAGCCCAGAGCCUGAAUCAGUGUGUGUGUUAGUGGAAGCGUCUGGAAAGGCGCGCGAUACAGGGUGACAGCCCCGUACACAAAAAUGCACAUACUGUGAGCUCGAUGAGUAGGGCGGGACACGUGGUAUCCUGUCUGAAUAUGGGGGGACCAUCCUCCAAGGCUAAAUACUCCUGACUGACCGAUAGUGAACCAGUACCGUGAGGGAAAGGCGAAAAGAACCCCGGCGAGGGGAGUGAAAAAGAACCUGAAACCGUGUACGUACAAGCAGUGGGAGCACAGAGCAAUCUGUGUGACUGCGUACCUUUUGUAUAAUGGGUCAGCGACUUAUAUUCUGUAGCAAGGUUAACCGAAUAGGGGAGCCGAAGGGAAACCGAGUCUUAACUGGGCGUUAAGUUGCAGGGUAUAGACCCGAAACCCGGUGAUCUAGCCAUGGGCAGGUUGAAGGUUGGGUAACACUAACUGGAGGACCGAACCGACUAAUGUUGAAAAAUUAGCGGAUGACUUGUGGCUGGGGGUGAAAGGCCAAUCAAACCGGGAGAUAGCUGGUUCUCCCCGAAAGCUAUUUAGGUAGCGCCUCGUGAAUUCAUCUCCGGGGGUAGAGCACUGUUUCGGCAAGGGGGUCAUCCCGACUUACCAACCCGAUGCAAACUGCGAAUACCGGAGAAUGUUAUCACGGGAGACACACGGCGGGUGCUAACGUCCGUCGUGAAGAGGGAAACAACCCAGACCGCCAGCUAAGGUCCCAAAGUCAUGGUUAAGUGGGAAACGAUGUGGGAAGGCCCAGACAGCCAGGAUGUUGGCUUAGAAGCAGCCAUCAUUUAAAGAAAGCGUAAUAGCUCACUGGUCGAGUCGGCCUGCGCGGAAGAUGUAACGGGGCUAAACCAUGCACCGAAGCUGCGGCAGCGACGCUUAUGCGUUGUUGGGUAGGGGAGCGUUCUGUAAGCCUGCGAAGGUGUCUGUGAGGCAUGCUGGAGGUAUCAGAAGUGCGAAUGCUGACAUAAGUAACGAUAAAGCGGGUGAAAAGCCCGCUCGCCGGAAGACCAAGGGUUCCUGUCCAACGUUAAUCGGGGCAGGGUGAGUCGACCCCUAAGGCGAGGCCGAAAGGCGUAGUCGAUGGGAAACAGGUUAAUAUUCCUGUACUUGGUGUUACUGCGAAGGGGGGACGGAGAAGGCUAUGUUGGCCGGGCGACGGUUGUCCCGGUUUAAGCGUGUAGGCUGGUUUUCCAGGCAAAUCCGGAAAAUCAAGGCUGAGGCGUGAUGACGAGGCACUACGGUGCUGAAGCAACAAAUGCCCUGCUUCCAGGAAAAGCCUCUAAGCAUCAGGUAACAUCAAAUCGUACCCCAAACCGACACAGGUGGUCAGGUAGAGAAUACCAAGGCGCUUGAGAGAACUCGGGUGAAGGAACUAGGCAAAAUGGUGCCGUAACUUCGGGAGAAGGCACGCUGAUACGUAGGUGAAGUCCCUCGCGGAUGGAGCUGAAAUCAGUCGAAGAUACCAGCUGGCUGCAACUGUUUAUUAAAAACACAGCACUGUGCAAACACGAAAGUGGACGUAUACGGUGUGACGCCUGCCCGGUGCCGGAAGGUUAAUUGAUGGGGUCAGCGCAAGCGAAGCUCUUGAUCGAAGCCCCGGUAAACGGCGGCCGUAACUAUAACGGUCCUAAGGUAGCGAAAUUCCUUGUCGGGUAAGUUCCGACCUGCACGAAUGGCGUAAUGAUGGCCAGGCUGUCUCCACCCGAGACUCAGUGAAAUUGAACUCGCUGUGAAGAUGCAGUGUACCCGCGGCAAGACGGAAAGACCCCGUGAACCUUUACUAUAGCUUGACACUGAACAUUGAGCCUUGAUGUGUAGGAUAGGUGGGAGGCUUUGAAGUGUGGACGCCAGUCUGCAUGGAGCCGACCUUGAAAUACCACCCUUUAAUGUUUGAUGUUCUAACGUUGACCCGUGAUCCGGGUUGCGGACAGUGUCUGGUGGGUAGUUUGACUGGGGCGGUCUCCUCCUAAAGAGUAACGGAGGAGCACGAAGGUUGGCUAAUCCUGGUCGGACAUCAGGAGGUUAGUGCAAUGGCAUAAGCCAGCUUGACUGCGAGCGUGACGGCGCGAGCAGGUGCGAAAGCAGGUCAUAGUGAUCCGGUGGUUCUGAAUGGAAGGGCCAUCGCUCAACGGAUAAAAGGUACUCCGGGGAUAACAGGCUGAUACCGCCCAAGAGUUCAUAUCGACGGCGGUGUUUGGCACCUCGAUGUCGGCUCAUCACAUCCUGGGGCUGAAGUAGGUCCCAAGGGUAUGGCUGUUCGCCAUUUAAAGUGGUACGCGAGCUGGGUUUAGAACGUCGUGAGACAGUUCGGUCCCUAUCUGCCGUGGGCGCUGGAGAACUGAGGGGGGCUGCUCCUAGUACGAGAGGACCGGAGUGGACGCAUCACUGGUGUUCGGGUUGUCAUGCCAAUGGCACUGCCCGGUAGCUAAAUGCGGAAGAGAUAAGUGCUGAAAGCAUCUAAGCACGAAACUUGCCCCGAGAUGAGUUCUCCCUGACUCCUUGAGAGUCCUGAAGGAACGUUGAAGACGACGACGUUGAUAGGCCGGGUGUGUAAGCGCAGCGAUGCGUUGAGCUAACCGGUACUAAUGAACCGUGAGGCUUAACCUU